GACGAACGCUGGCGGCGUGCCUAAUACAUGCAAGUAGAACGCUGAAGAAGGAGCUUGCUUCUCUGGAUGAGUUGCGAACGGGUGAGUAACGCGUAGGUAACCUGCCUGGUAGCGGGGGAUAACUAUUGGAAACGAUAGCUAAUACCGCAUAAGAGUAGAUGUUGCAUGACAUUUGCUUAAAAGGUGCAAUUGCAUCACUACCAGAUGGACCUGCGUUGUAUUAGCUAGUUGGUGAGGUAACGGCUCACCAAGGCAACGAUACAUAGCCGACCUGAGAGGGGGAGCGGCCACACUGGGACUGAGACACGGCCCAGACGCCUACGGGAGGCAGCAGGAGGGAAUCUUCGGCAAUGGACGGAAGUCUGACCGAGCAACGCCGCGGGAGUGAAGAAGGUUUUCGGAUCGUAAAGCUCGGUUGUAAGAGAAGAACGAGUGUGAGAGUGGAAAGUUCACACUGUGACGGUAUCUUACCAGAAAGGGACGGCUAACUACGUG
rnacentral:rRNA from 1 species